UCCAGACUCCUACGGGAGGCAGCAGUGGGGGAUAUUGCACAAUGGGGGGAACCCUGAUGCAGCGACGCCGCGUGGGUGAAGGAGCGUUUCGGCGCGUAAAGCCCUCUCGGCAGGGAAGAAGGAGGACGGUACCUGACUAAGAAGCCCCGGCUAACUACGUGCCAGCAGCCGCGGUAAUACGUAGGGGGCAAGCGUUAUCCGGAUUUACUGGGUGUAAAGGGGGCGCAGACGGCAGCGCAAGCCAGGAGUGAAAGCCCGGGGCCCAACCCCGGGACUGCUCUUGGAACUGCGCGGCUGGAGUGCAGGAGGGGCGGGCGGAAUUCUUGGUGUAGCGGUGAAAUGCGUAGAUAUCAGGAGGAACACCGGCGGCGAAGGCGGCCUGCUGGACCGUGACUGACGUUGAGGCUCGAGAGCGUGGGGAGCAAACAGGAUUAGAUACCCGGGUAC
rnacentral:rRNA from 1 species